GACUAUGGCCAUACCACCCUGAACGCACACGAUCCAGUCUGAUCUCGGAAGCUAAGCAGGGUCAGUUCUGGUUAGUACUUGGAUGGGAGACCACCUGGGAAUACCAGGUGCUAUAGGCA
ensembl:rRNA 5S_rRNA 5S ribosomal RNA